AACGAACGCUGGCGGCAUGCCUAACACAUGCAAGUCAAACGAGACCUUCGGGUCUAGUGGCGCACGGGUGCGUAACGCGUGGGAACCUGCCCUUAGGUUCGGAAUAACUCCCCGAAAGGGGUGCUAAUACCGGAUAAUGUCUUCGGACCAAAGAUUUAUCGCCUUUGGAUGGGCCCGCGUUGGAUUAGCUAGUUGGUAGGGUAAAAGCCUACCAAGGCGACGAUCCAUAGCUGGUCUGAGAGGAUGAUCAGCCACACUGGGACUGAGACACGGCCCAGACUCCUACGGGAAGCAGCAGUGGGGAAUAUUGGACAAUGGGCGAAAGCCUGAUCCAGCAAUGCCGCGUGAGUGAUGAAGGCCUUAGGGUUGUAAAGCUCUUUUACCCGGGAUGAUAAUGACAGUACCGGGAGAAUAAGCUCCGGCUAACUCCGUG
rnacentral:rRNA from 1 species